AGAGUUUGAUCAUGGCUCAGAUUGAACGUUGGCGGCAGGCCUAAUACAUGCAAGUCGAACGAGAAAGUACCUUCGGGUGCGAGUACAGUGGCGGACGGGUGAGUAACGCGUAGGAAUCUACCUUGUAGUGGGGGACAACUCGGGGAAACUCGAGCUAAUACCGCAUAAUACCUAAGGGUGAAAGUGGGGGAUCUUCGGACCUCACGCUAUUAGAGGAGCCUGCGUUAAAUUAGCUUGUUGGUGGGGUAAUGGCCUACCAAGGCGACGAUCUAUAGCUGGUCUGAGAGGACGAUCAGCCACACUGGAACUGAGACACGGUCCAGACUCCUACGGGAGGCAGCAGUAGGGAAUCUUGGGCAAUGGGCGAAAGCCUGACCCAGCCAUGCCGCGUGUGUGAAGAAGGCCUUAGGGUUGUAAAGCACUUUCAGUCGUGAAGAAAUGCUUGAGGUUAAUAACCUCGAGUCUUGACGUUAACGACAGAAGAAGUACCGGCUAACUCCGUGCCAGCAGCCGCGGUAAUACGGAGGGUACGAACGUUAAUCGGAAUUACUGGGCGUAAAGCGCGCGUAGGCGGUCUGUUAAGUGGGAUGUGAAAGCCCCGGGCUCAACCCGGGAACUGCAUUCCAAACUGGCAGGCUAGAGUAUGGUAGAGGGUGGUAGAAUUUCCUGUGUAGCGGUGAAAUGCGUAGAUAUAGGAAGGAAUACCGAUGGCGAAGGCAGCCACCUGGACCAAUACU
rnacentral:rRNA from 1 species